GCUAUUAUUUACUUGAUUUAGAUUCCAUACGUGGAUAACUGUGGCAAUUCUAGAGCUAAUACAUGCACCAAAGCUCCGACUCGUUGACGAGCGCAUCUAUUAGAAUAAAACCAAUCGAGACAGUGUCUCGUCCAUUUGGUGACUCUGAAUAGCUUAGCUGAUCGCAUGGUCACGCACCGGCGACGUAUCUAUCAAGUAUCUGCCUUAUCAACUUUCGAUGGUAGUUUAUAUGACUACCAUGGUUGUAACGGGUAACGGAGAAUAAGGGUUCGACUCCGGAGAGGGAGCCUGAGAAACGGCUACCACUUCCAAGGAAGGCAGCAGGCGCGCAAAUUACCCACUCUCAGCUCAGAGGAGGUAGUGACGAAAAAUAACGAGACCGUACUCGAUGAGGCCGGUUAUCGGAAUGGGUACAAUUUAAACCCGUUAACGAGGAUCUAUGAGAGGGCAAGUCUGGUGCCAGCAGCCGCGGUAAUUCCAGCUCUCAAAGUGUAUAUCGGCAUUGCUGCGGUUAAAAAGCUCGUAGUUGGAUUUCAGCCUUACGACGUGGUCCAUUCAUUGAAUGCGAACUACGCCUCGUAGGCUAUAUUGAUGUUGGUUUUUCCUUACGUUGCUCUAAUCGGCUGCGUAAGGUGGCUAACGAGUUUACCUUGAAAAAAUUAGAGUGCUCAACGCGGGCUAACGCCUGAAUACUCGUGCAUGGAAUAAUGGAAUAGGAUCUCGGUUCUAUUUUGUUGGUUUUCUGAUCUGAGAUAAUGGUUAAGAGGGACAGACGGGGGCAUUCGUAUCGCUGCGUGAGAG
rnacentral:rRNA from 1 species